rnacentral:rRNA from 1 species
UGGCUCAGAUUGAACGCUGGCGGUAUGCUUAAGACAUGCAAGUCGAACGGAAUCUUCGGAUUCAGUGGCGGACGGGUGAGUAACACGUGGGAAUCUACUGAGUAGUGGGGGACAGCCCGGCGAAAGCCGGAUUAAUACCGCAUACGCCCUACGGGGGAAAGGCGCAAGCCGCUAUUUAAUGAGCCCGCGUAAGAUUAGCUAGUUGGUAGGGUAAAGGCUUACCAAGGCAACGAUCUUUAGCUGGUCUGAGAGGAUGACCAGCCACAUCGGGACUGAGACACGGCCCGGACUCCUACGGGAGGCAGCAGUCGGGAAUAUUGGACAAUGGGCGCAAGCCUGAUCCAGCAAUACCGCGUGUGUGAAGAAGGCCUGCGGGUUGUAAAGCACUUUCAGUUGGGAAGAUAAUGACGUUACCAACAGAAGAAGCACCGGCUAACUCCGUGCCAGCAGCCGCGGUAAUACGGAGGGUGCAAGCGUUAAUCGGAAUUACUGGGCGUAAAGCGUGCGUAGGCGGUUUUUUAAGUCAGAUGUGAAAUCCCCGGGCUCAACCUGGGAACUGCAUCUGAUACUGGGAGACUAGAGUGUGGGAGAGGAGAGUGGAAUUUCCGGUGUAGCGGUGAAAUGCAUAGAGAUCGGAAGGAACAUCAGUGGCGAAGGCGACUCUCUGGACCAACACUGACGCUGAGGCACGAAAGCGUGGGUAGCAAACAGGAUUAGAUACCCUGGUAGUCC